GCACUCCUACGGGAGGCAGCAGUGGGGAAUAUUGCACAAUGGGCGCAAGCCUGAUGCAGCCAUGCCGCGUUGUAUGAAGAAGGCCUUCGGGUUGUAAAGUACUUUCAGCAGUGAGGAAGGUGGGUAUGUUAAUAGCAUACUCAUUUGACGUUAGCUGCAGAAGAAGCACCGGCUAACUCCGUGCCAGCAGCCGCGGUAAUACGGAGGGUGCGAGCGUUAAUCGGAAUUACUGGGCGUAAAGCGCAUGCAGGUGGUUUGUUAAGUCAGAUGUGAAAGCCCGGGGCUCAACCUCGGAAUUGCAUUUGAAACUGGCAAACUAGAGUACUGUAGAGGGGGUAGAAUUUCAGGUGUAGCGGUGAAAUGCGUAGAGAUCUGAAGGAAUACCGGUGGCGAAGGCGGCCCCCUGGACAGAUACUGACACUCAGAUGCGAAAGCGUGGGGAGCAAACAGGAUUAGAUACCCUGGUAG
rnacentral:rRNA from 1 species